GUCAGGGCGGCUGGGGGAAGCGGGGGCCUCAGUCCAACCCCCACUCACUCCCCUCCUACACAGGCCAGCUCGCGCAGUGUCUGUGCUCUCGGCUUCGCCUCCUCCUGCAGCCUCCUGGUGGCGCCGGCGGCUGGGAGCAUCUGGCUGUGGGGCCUGCAUGGCGACCCCAAUACCGGGGCCCUCAGGUGAGCUGGGCAGGGCAAGCUGGAUGCCUGGGUCCCUUCCUGGCCCCAUCGCUCCCUGGGGAGCGGGGGGUGGGGGAGGGCCAUGCCCUACUGACCCGGGCCACCGAGGUCCCGUUUCCCGUACCAGUCUAUGCAGCAGCUGGCCUGGGCCCCACACGGACCGCGUCUCUCUCUCUCUCUCUCUCUCUCAGCCUGGAGCGUGAGCGCCCCCUGGGGGAGGUGGCAGCUCCCGUUACCUGCAUGGGGCCAGCCGGGGCCCCCGGCUCCCUGGUCCUGGGACUGGCGAACGGGGAGGUGCUGCUGUUCAGAGUCCACCAGACGGUGCUGAAGCCCCUCUGCUUAGUCAGCCCGGACGCCUGGGUUCCAGACCCCCCUGAGUACCUGUUUGAUGUGGCUGUGACCCCAGAUGGGCGGCUUCUUCUGUGGAAGGGGGUGAAAGAACCCACCCUGUACGAACUGAGGGUGGGGGAGUCGGAGGAACUGGAGAAAUCCCGGGAGGCCAAGAUCCGCCUCUGGGAGCGGGAUGAGGACGCCGAUUCCAGCUGGUUCAGCAGGGCCUGGCUCAGCCCCGAUUCAUCCCUGCUCCUCGCCGGCUCUGACGGGAUGCUCUGGACUCGGGCUCAGUGGAGCGAGGAGGAGGAUGCAGCCGAGUCCUGGAGCAGCAAGAGGUGGCAGCAGCAGCGGGUGAGUACUCCCUGGCUGGGCCUGUCUCUGUUGGGGACCCUGUCCCGGCAGGGCCCAUCCCUCCUUCCCUGCUGGCAGCAGCCCAGUCUGCUGCACUGGGUGGGGUGCGGAUGUUUCCCUCCUUGUGUGUCAUGGGCGUGGUCAGCAGGGUCCAGAGUUAACACCCAGUGCAACGAAUGA
rnacentral:lncRNA from 1 species